UAAACUCGUGUCUUCUUUUCUUCUUCUUUCAUUAUUCUUCUUAUUUCUUCUUCUUCUCAUCUUCUUCUCUUUCCUACUCUUUCUGUUUUUCUUCUUCUGCGAAUUUGAGAGACGAGUUUGAGAAUCAGUUAGAGAGAAUCGUUUGAUGAGCGAGAUGAUGAGGGUUCGAAUCAUUAAGGAGAACAAGUAGGGAUUGUUAGGGUUUCUGUUUGAAGUGUUGAAUCGGUGAAGAAUUGAAGAAUUGGAGUUAAUAGAUUCAAUUGAAGUUCUAAAAUCAUCUUAAAGAUGAACUGAGAAUUAGGGUUCCUGAAUCUGGGUUGAUAUUCGAUUAAAGAUUAAUUAGAAGAUGAAAUCGAUAUCUGUAAGGUUGAUUUGAUAUGGGUUUAUGUCUAGUUAUGAAGUUGAUGCAGUAAAGAAUCAAGGGGUUAGGGUUUCCGCAUGUUGUGUUGGAAUUCUAUUUGAGCAAAAAUUAAGAAGAUAUAUACGGAAUUACAAGAUAGGUUUUACUAAAUUAGAGUUUGAGAUUGAAAAACAGCUUGAAAUUGGUAGUUAGGGUUGGAUCUGUUUAAAUGAAGAUUUGGGGUUAUAUUGAGAACUGAUGUUGUUAAUGAGGGUUGUGGAGAUGGUUAGCUGAAUUAUGUGAUAAAGAGGAUUUAAUCUCAAUUUCCUGAGACAAAUAAAUCAAAGAGAGAAUGAGUUUGCAGGUUUGUGACACUGUGUUAUUACAGCUGGUAUUAAGAUCAUCAAUUCAGUGGUGAGGCUAUAAAUAUUGUAUUUGUGUGUGUGUUGAUGUUGAAGUUAUAGAACUGGCAGAGAUUCAACUGGUUCUGUGGCAGUGAUGAAGGAUGGAUGUGUACAAAUGCUGAAUAUGAAUUGCAGUGCAUUGAAUGAUGAAUAAGGAAUGAAGUUGUAGAUAUUUAGAUACAAGAAUUGAGGUGCAGGGCUGGAUGGUGUUGUAAUUGAUGUGGUUCGAUUGUGAAAUCCAGGGAAGAGCUCGUAGUGGUUCUAGGAUUGAAUGUGUUGAGCUGAGCUAAUGUUAUAGAUGAUUGCUAAGUUCAAUUUUUAUGGAUGUGAAGGAUUAAGUUGAUGGUGAACUAUAGAUGUUGCUGGUGGAGAUGCAAAGUGAAGAUACAUUGGUAAUUAUAGGUGCAUAGUAUGCAAAGAAGUGCUGGUUGGUUAAAUAUGUGUAUGGAAUGUUAGUAUUGAUAGUAAGUGGAUGAGCUAUGUAAUGGUAUGGCAAGGUUGAGUGAAAUGUAACUGAAGUGAAGUUGAAAUAAGUGUGGGAGUUGCAGUUUAUGAUAGUAAUUGAUCUAGGUUGAUCUGUAUUGGUAGAUGUAGGGUUUUGAUGGUCUCGGUGGAGGCUUGCAUUUGCUACCUAAAGGUAAGCUGAAGUUGUAAUUGAAAUUGUGUUUUGAAGUUAUUUUGGAAUUCUAUUAUAGUGAAUUUAUUUGUAUAA